rnacentral:rRNA from 1 species
AACAUGCCCAGUAGUGGGGGAUAGCUCGGCGAAAGCCGAAUUAAUACCGCAUACGACCUUCGGGUGAAAGGGGGGGAUCUUCGGACCUCUCGCUACUGGAGUGGCCGAUGCCUGAUUAGUUUGUUGGUGGGGUAACGGCCUACCAAGACUGCGAUCAGUAGCUGGUCUGAGAGGACGAUCAGCCACACUGGGACUGAGACACGGCCCAGACUCCUACGGGAGGCAGCAGUGGGGAAUCUUGGACAAUGGGCGAAAGCCUGAUCCAGCAAUGCCGCGUGUGCGAUGAAGGCUUUCGGGUUGUAAAGCACUUUUGUCAGGGACAGAAAUGGUUCGGGCCAAUACCUCGAACUUCUGACGGUACCUGAAGAAUAAGCACCGGCUAACUACGUGCCAGCAGCCGCGGUAAUACGUAGGGUGCAAGCGU